UACGUAGGGGGCAAGCGUUGUCCGGAAUCAUUGGGCGUAAAGCGCGUGUAGGCGGCUCGAUAAGUCCGCUCUGAAAGCCCGGGGCUCAACCCCGGGAGGCGGGCGGAAACUGUCGGGCUAGAGUCCGGAAGAGGCGAGUGGAAUUCCCGGUGUAGCGGUGAAAUGCGCAGAUAUCAGGAGGAACACCGGUGGCGAAGGCGGUUCUCUGGGCCUUACCUGACACUGAGGAGCGAAAGCGUGGGGAGCGAACAGG
rnacentral:rRNA from 1 species